rnacentral:rRNA from 1 species
GGACUACCCGGGUUUCUAAUCCCGUUUGCUCCCCUGGCCUUCGUGCCUCAGCGUCAGUAACUGUCCAGAGAUUCGCCUUCGCCACUGGUCUUCCUUACGAUAUCUACGCAUUUCACUGCUACACCGUAAAUUCCAAUCUCCUCUCCAGUACUCAAGCAAGGCAGUAUCCAAUGCAGUUCCGGGGUUGAGCCCCGGGAUUUCACAUCAGACUUACCCCGCCGCCUACGCACCCUUUACGCCCAAUGAAUCCGAACAACGCUUGAGACCUCUGUAUUACCGCGGCUGCUGGCAC